UCACGCUUGUUUAGCUGCUAUUUCUAGCAAAAGUUACUUCCGUUGUCCAUCGCAUUCGUGAUUGUCGGGUUUUGGUUUAAAAGCUAGCAAUUAUUUCGAGGUCACACAUCCAUCUUACAAUGAUUACUAAAAUUGCGGUAAUAUGUGCUGUGCUGUGCCUGCUUCUUGCGGGCGUGGAAUGCCAACAGCAGGAUCUUUUUGGCGGUCUCUCUGGUUUGAUAAACCUCGCUAAGAGUUCUACUGACAUGCUGCAAAAGAAAGCGGAUUUAAUUAACCAAGCGUCCCAAACUGCUCAGAGCUUUGAAAAGUUGUUGAAAAGUUUUUAUAAUUGAAACUAAUAAAGUUGUAUUCGUUGUGUAUUUGUAAAAGGUAUUUUUAAAAGAAAUUAACAGUAAAUCCUUAAAUAUAUGGGAAAUUUGGAGAACAGUUA
rnacentral:lncRNA from 1 species